GGAGUGUUUACUUAAUUUUACAAGGAUAAAAGAAACUAUUCAAGGUUAACACAAUGCAGACCAAACUGAAGAGCGUUAUGUAGAAAGCCAAUUUGAAUAACGCAGAAAACACAACUCAUUCUCAAAGCUGUCGAAAGUCUCUGGGCACAUCGGGUAAAGGCUAAGAGGUUGAGCUUUCCCCCUUGGAGCCUUGUGUUCAUUGGGAAGAUUCUCCUUCGAGGGAAUCAUUUUAUAAUGUAGUAAUUGAGUAGUAAGAGAGAAAUGUCUUGCUAAAAGCAGUCAAGUAAGUGGUCGAGUAGCAGAUCUUCAUCUGUUAUCAGAUGAAUCUCUUAAAAAGGCCUGUGUAAUACUCAGCAACAGGGUCCCGCUAUUGUGUUUGGGAGAAUAAACUUAUUUCAAGCACAAAGAUUCCUCCUUCCUCUUUUAAAAUCUCUGUUUUCCGUGCUCCUCCCCACUUUGAGGGAAGUGAUACACUAAAAUUAAGUGAUGGCUUAUUAUCGUGGUUAACCAGUCUGUCUUGAAUUUGCAGCCUGAGCUGACCAGCGCUUAUCCUCAUGUGACCUUGGGUGAAUUGAUGGACAUCUCUGAACCUCCAUUUUCUCCUGUGUAAAUUAGCAGCUGCUGCAAAAAUAUCGAUAAUCUCUGAAAAGAGUUUUGCUCAGUGUUUGGUGAAGAUUGCCUCUCCUGAUGUCUAGAAAAGGGCUGGUUUGUUUGGAAGGCUGUGCUGCGUGGCAAGAAGAGAAUAAACAUCUUGGGAAUUCUGGCUGUGCUGUGUAUUUGCUGUGUGGCCUUGGGCAAGCUACUGACUUCUCUGAAUUCAGGAUCUACAAACUGAGGAUAAGUAACAUGAGAAUCUCUGUGAAGUACUUUAAAAACAGGAGAUGUUUGGUAAAUGUGCAGUCACUUUCAUGACUCUUCAAGUUUCUUUUGAAAUUUCUGACAAUGCCGGGCGCAGUGGCUCAUGCCUGUAAUCCCAGCACUUUGGGAGGCUGAGGCAGAGAAUUGCUUGAACCUGGGAGGCAGAGGUUGCAGUGAGCCGAGAUUGCACCACUGCACUCCAGCCUGGGUGACAGAGUGAAACACGUCUCAAAAAAAAAAAGAAAAAAAAAUCUGAAAAUACAUAUAUGGGGGAUUAAUUGCACAUGUGCUGUUUUACAUCCAUUAUUCUAUUUAAUCCUUACACCAGCCCUUUGAAGUGUCUACGAUUAGUGUUAUUGCCCUUUUACUGAUAAUAAACUCAAGCUCUGGAGGGUUAAGUGUAAGUGGUUCAAGCUCAUAUAGUGCCAGAGAGUGAAGAUGUAAAUUCGCCCACCCCAUCAGCAGAGAGCCCCGUGCUCGUUACCACCAUAUUAUUCGUGAACAUUUGACAUCAGCUGGGACUUUUUGCCCAGGAAAUUAC
rnacentral:lncRNA from 1 species